UCCCGAGCGGCCAAAGGGAGCAGACUGUAAAUCUGCCGUCAUCGACUUCGAAGGUUCGAAUCCUUCCCCCACCA
rnacentral:tRNA from 2 species